rnacentral:rRNA from 1 species
UACGGAGGGUGCAAGCGUUAUCCGGAUUCACUGGGUUUAAAGGGUGCGUAGGCGGGUAAGUAAGUCCGUGGUGAAAUCUCUGAGCUUAACUCAGAAACUGCCGUGGAUACUAUUUGCCUUGAAUAUUGUGGAGGUGAGCGGAAUAUGUCAUGUAGCGGUGAAAUGCUUAGAUAUGACAUAGAACACCAAUUGUGAAGGCAGCUCACUACACAAUCAUUGACGCUGAGGCACGAAAGCGUGGGGAUCAAACAGG